rnacentral:misc_RNA from 1 species
GAUGAAGAACGUAGCGAAAUGCGAUAAGUAAUGUGAAUUGCAGAAUUCAGUGAAUCAUCGAAUCUUUGAACGCACAUUGCGCCCCCUGGAAUUCCGGGGGGCAUGCCUGUUCGAGCGUCUCAGGGACGAACCCUCGCGCGGGUGUACGCGCGGUCGUGGCUGCGGUGGCGUGCCCGAGGCGGCGGCCACCACGCUGGAAUCCAUGGGCGGACGCCUGCCGCGUGGCCGAGCGUGAUAUGACGCAUUGGCGCUCGCACGCGGAGAGGCUGCCAGCCCUGGCCCGUCUGUCGGGCGGGGGAGAGCAAGACACGUGAACUCCUCGAAUCAGGUAGGGAUACCCGCUGAACUUAAGCAUAUCAAUAAGCGGAGGA